rnacentral:rRNA from 1 species
GACGAACGCUGGCGGCGUGCUUAACACAUGCAAGUCGAACGGUGAAGCGCCUUCCUUUUUGGUGGGUGUGGAUGAGUGGCGAACGGGUGAGUAACACGUGAGUAACCUGCCCCCUUCUUCUGGAUAACCGCAUGAAAGUGUGGCUAAUACGGGAUAUUCUGGGUCUGUCGCAUGAUGGGUCUGGGAAAGAUAUUGUUUCGGUGGGGGAUGGGCUCGCGGCCUAUCAGCUUGUUGGUGGGGUGAUGGCCUACCAAGGCGGUGACGGGUAGCCGGCCUGAGAGGGUGGACGGUCACACUGGGACGGAGACACGGCCCAGACUCCUACGGGAGGCAGCAGUGGGGAAUAGUGCACAAUGGGCGCAAGCCUGUUGCAGCGACGCCGCGUGAGGGAUGGAGGCCUGCGGGUUGUGAACCUCUUUCGCCAGUGAAGCAGGCCUGCCUCGUUUGUGGGUGGGUUGACGGUAGCUGGAUAAGAAGCGCCGGCUAACUACGUG